UACGGGGGGAGCAAGCGUUGUUCGGAUUUACUGGGCGUAAAGGGCGCGUAGGCGGUCAGCACAAGUCAGUUGUGAAAUCUCCGGGCUUAACUCGGAAAGGUCAACUGAUACUGUGCGACUAGAGUGCAGAAGGGGCAACUGGAAUUCUCGGUGUAGCGGUGAAAUGCGCAGAUAUCAGGAGGAACACCAAUUGCGAAGGCAGCUCGCUGGGACGUAACUGACGCUGAGACGCGAAAGCGUGGGGAGCAAACAGG
rnacentral:rRNA from 1 species